GGGAAGGACAAGCUCUUCAUUCUUCCGAUGGGAAAGAUAAUUGCAAAAGAAAAUAAAUAGACACUCGAGUAGCUUGAACAGAAUCGUUUUUCCUCAAGUCAGUCGUCCUGAAAUGUGUGUCGCCCCAACCGGCUUCUCU
rnacentral:sRNA from 1 species